UACGUAGGGUGCAAGCGUUAUCCGGAAUUAUUGGGCGUAAAGAGCUCGUAGGCGGUUUGUCGCGUCUGCUGUGAAAACCCGAGGCUCAACCUCGGGCCUGCAGUGGGUACGGGCAGACUAGAGUGCGGUAGGGGAGAUUGGAAUUCCUGGUGUAGCGGUGGAAUGCGCAGAUAUCUGGAGGAACACCGGUGGCGAAGGCGGCAUCCUGGACCGGCAUUGACGCUGAGGCGCGAAAGCCAGGGGAGCAAACGGG
rnacentral:rRNA from 1 species